AAAUUGAAGAGUUUGAUCAUGGCUCAGAUUGAACGCUGGCGGCAGGCCUAACACAUGCAAGUCGAACGGUAACAGGAAGCAGCUUGCUGUUUCGCUGACGAGUGGCGGACGGGUGAGUAAUGUCUGGGAAACUGCCUGAUGGAGGGGGAUAACUACUGGAAACGGUGGCUAAUACCGCAUAACGUCGCAAGACCAAAGAGGGGGACCUUCGGGCCU
rnacentral:rRNA from 1 species